AUGCUCCGCCGCCUCUCCGGUCCCCUCCGCCGCUCCCUCUCCACCGCCGCCUCGCGCCCCGCCUGGGCGAUGAUCUACCGGAUCUCCACGGCGGAGGAGUCCGCGGCCGCGCGGCGCGCGUCCGUCGCGCUCGCCCCGCCCCCGCUCGCCUCCCGCGUCUCCGUCCCCAGGCACGCCUUCGGCCUGGACCCGCUCCGGGACGCGGCCAGUGCCGACGGCCGGCCGCCCGUCAACUUCUUCAGCCUCGCCGCCCGUUAAUAAUGUAGCAUAUUUUUUUAUGCUUUUUUAUGUAUUAUUAUAUCACCGGCGGGCUCCGGACACAACCUCAUCAACGUCUUCGGCAGCGGCGUGCUCGCCGCGAGCGGCGACGGCCUCCUCCUGCUCGGCACUUUCAGGAACCGCGCCAGCGCCGCCAGCAUCUUCCAGCACCAGGUCCCGUCCCCCGCCCCGUUCGAGGUCCUCGACCAGGCCUACGCGCGCUCCUCCUGCUGCGACUCCAUGAGGCUCGCGCGCUUCGUCUGCAACCCUGUCACCGGCGAGCUGGCCCGCCUCCCGGACUUCGACGGCGCGGAGGACGCCUUCACCGCCCCCACGGGCCUCCUCACCCAGGCCGACGGCGGGCACGGGCCGCCCCGGAGGUACGCCGCCGCGCAGCUCAGCGUGGUCGACGAGGGGCGGCGUUUCCUGCUGCGCCGGCUCUCGUCAGAGACCGGGAACUGGGACGAGCUGCUGCUGCCGUCCCCGCUGCCGGCCGGGCGCCUGAUGCACAUGAACCACGAGGUGCUGGACUACGGGGGGCGGCUCUGGUGGGUGGACGUGAGCUGCGGCGCCGUCAACGUCGACCCGUUCAGCGACCGGCCCGAGCUCUGCCCCGUCGAGCUGCCGGGAGACAUCAUGCUUGCUGACCAACAGGGCGAGGCAGAGAUGAGGCAGCUCCUCCAGCACAGGCGCAUGGGGGUCAGCGACGGCAGGCUGAGGUUUGUGGAGGUUGCCAAGGACGAGCCCUUCCGCAUCAAAUCGUUCACGCUGGACGACGAGAGUGGCCGCUGGAUGCUGGAGCACCAGGUGUCGUGGAGAACACUCUAUCCCCAAGCCAAGGCGUCGCCUUUGAUUGCUGCUAUUCAUCCACUCAGCGCCGACUUGCUGUACCUCACUGUGCCUGUGGGCAAAGGAUUCUGUGUGAGCGUGGACGUGCGCUGGAAGAGACAGGUUGAGUCUGUGGAGUUGGGGCGUGGUGUCAAUCCAAGCAAGUGCAUCUCAAGCUUCGUUCUGCCAUGUGUGCUCCCCUCAUUUCUCGGAUCAAGCUCGAUUCCAGGCAAGAUGAACGCCGAGAAAAACAAGACUUUGGCAGAUGUUCUUGUUCGCUCAGACAUCCCAUAG
rnacentral:rRNA from 1 species